rnacentral:rRNA from 1 species
AUAAAAUAAUAAGAUAUCUUAUUAGGAUGUUUUUCAUUAAGAAGAACAUCCUUUUUAUUUUGACUAUUUAAUAAAAAACAUAUGCUAAUAACAUUUAAAUUUUAUUUUUAUAAUAUUGUAAUUUAAAAGUUUAUAUAAGGUUAUAUAUUUUAAGAUAUUAUUUAACAAUAUAAAUUCUGAAUAUACGUUAUCAAAAUUUAUAAUAUAAACUAAGUAUAAUUUAUUGUAUAGUAUUGAAUGUUAGAUAAACAUAGUGAAUUAAAUAGGGACAGAAAUAUAAUAUCAUUACAUAAUAAUAUAUUAAUACCAAUAAAUAAAGAUAUAUCAAUAUUAAAAAAAUUUAAAUGUUUGUACUAAUAUAUGGAAUAUUAUAGUGUUUUUAUAAGUAUACAUAUACAGGGUGAUGUUGUGAGAAAGUACAUAAAACAUAUAAUUUUUAGUUUUGCAAUGAUAUGUCUAGUAGUAGUAUCCAUAUUUGAAAUUAAAAAUAUUUCUGAAGAUGUUAUCAAGUAUAUGCCAGUAACAAACAAAACUAUAAUUUUAGAUGCUGGUCAUGGAGGCAUUGAUCCAGGUGCAUUAAAUAAGGAUAAGAGUACAUCUGAAAAGGAUAUUAACCUAGCAAUAACACUUAAGCUUAGAGAGCUUAUAGAAUCAAGUGGUGGCCUUGUAAUAUUAACUCGAGAAGAUGACAGUAGCCUUUAUAAAGAAGAAAAUAAUAAAACUACAAGACAAAAAUAUAAUGAGAAUUUGAAAAAUAGAAAAGAAAUAAUAUCUAAUUCUAAUGCCAAUAUGUUUGUCUCUAUACAUCUUAAUGCAUUUGAACAAUCAAAAUACUAUGGAGCUCAAACUUUUUAUCCUAAAGACAAACAAGACAGUAAAGAAUUAUCGAAGUGUAUUCAAGAAGAACUUAAAAGAGUAGUAGAUAAGACAAACAACAGAGAAGUCAAACCAAGGGAUGAUAUAUAUCUUUUGAAAGAAAAUAAUAUUCCAUCAGUACUGAUAGAAUGUGGUUUUUUAUCAAAUGAAAAAGAGUGUAAACUCUUAACUGAUGAAACAUAUCAAGAAAAAAUAGCAUGGGCAAUCUACAUAGGAAUACAAAAAUAUUUAAGUUGAAAUAACUAUAAAAAUAGGUCUAAAUAUGUAAAUAGCUUGUAUUAAAGCAGUUAAAAUGCAUUAAUAUAGGCUAUUUUUAUUUUGACAAAAAAAUAUUUAAAAUAAAAGUUAAAAAGUUGUUGACUUAGAAUAAUAUAGAUGAUAUUAUAUAUGAGUGCCCAAAAGGAGCACCAAAAUAAGACAAAAGAACUUUGAAAAUUAAACAGUAGGUUAAUUUAUAAACAAGAAACAAACCAUAAAGCCAGAUAUUUUGAUAACAAUAGUAUCUGAGCCUGAUAAACUUUUAUUUGAGAGUUUGAUCCUGGCUCAGGAUGAACGCUGGCGGCGUGCCUAACACAUGCAAGUUGAGCGAUUUACUUCGGUAAAGAGCGGCGGACGGGUGAGUAACGCGUGGGUAACCUACCCUGUACACACGGAUAACAUACCGAAAGGUAUGCUAAUACGGGAUAAUAUAUUUGAGAGGCAUCUCUUGAAUAUCAAAGGUGAGCCAGUACAGGAUGGACCCGCGUCUGAUUAGCUAGUUGGUAAGGUAACGGCUUACCAAGGCGACGAUCAGUAGCCGACCUGAGAGGGUGAUCGGCCACAUUGGAACUGAGACACGGUCCAAACUCCUACGGGAGGCAGCAGUGGGGAAUAUUGCACAAUGGGCGAAAGCCUGAUGCAGCAACGCCGCGUGAGUGAUGAAGGCCUUCGGGUCGUAAAACUCUGUCCUCAAGGAAGAUAAUGACGGUACUUGAGGAGGAAGCCCCGGCUAACUACGUGCCAGCAGCCGCGGUAAUACGUAGGGGGCUAGCGUUAUCCGGAUUUACUGGGCGUAAAGGGUGCGUAGGCGGUCUUUCAAGUCAGGAGUGAAAGGCUACGGCUCAACCGUAGUAAGCUCUUGAAACUGGGAGACUUGAGUGCAGGAGAGGAGAGUGGAAUUCCUAGUGUAGCGGUGAAAUGCGUAGAUAUUAGGAGGAACACCAGUUGCGAAGGCGGCUCUCUGGACUGUAACUGACGCUGAGGCACGAAAGCGUGGGGAGCAAACAGGAUUAGAUACCCUGGUAGUCCACGCUGUAAACGAUGAGUACUAGGUGUCGGGGGUUACCCCCUUCGGUGCCGCAGCUAACGCAUUAAGUACUCCGCCUGGGAAGUACGCUCGCAAGAGUGAAACUCAAAGGAAUUGACGGGGACCCGCACAAGUAGCGGAGCAUGUGGUUUAAUUCGAAGCAACGCGAAGAACCUUACCUAAGCUUGACAUCCCAAUGACAUCUCCUUAAUCGGAGAGUUCCCUUCGGGGACAUUGGUGACAGGUGGUGCAUGGUUGUCGUCAGCUCGUGUCGUGAGAUGUUGGGUUAAGUCCCGCAACGAGCGCAACCCUUGUCUUUAGUUGCCAUCAUUAAGUUGGGCACUCUAGAGAGACUGCCAGGGAUAACCUGGAGGAAGGUGGGGAUGACGUCAAAUCAUCAUGCCCCUUAUGCUUAGGGCUACACACGUGCUACAAUGGGUAGUACAGAGGGUUGCCAAGCCGUAAGGUGGAGCUAAUCCCUUAAAGCUACUCUCAGUUCGGAUUGUAGGCUGAAACUCGCCUACAUGAAGCUGGAGUUACUAGUAAUCGCAGAUCAGAAUGCUGCGGUGAAUGCGUUCCCGGGUCUUGUACACACCGCCCGUCACACCACGGGAGUUGGAGACGCCCGAAGCCGAUUAUCUAACCUUUUGGAAGAAGUCGUCGAAGGUGGAAUCAAUAACUGGGGUGAAGUCGUAACAAGGUAGCCGUAUCGGAAGGUGCGGCUGGAUCACCUCCUUUCUAAGGAGAAUUACCUACUGUUUA